GGAGGAAAGAUUUAUCGCUGAUGGAUGAGCCCGCGCCAGAUUAGGUAGUUGGUGAGGUAAUGGCUCACCAAGCUGACGAUCUGUAGCUGGUCGUGAGAGGAUGAUCAGCCACACUGGGACGUGAGACACGGCCCACGACUCCUACGGGAGGGCAGCAGUGGGGAAGUAUUGGACAAUGGGCGAAAGACCUCGAUCCAGCAAUACCGAGUGAGUGAUGAAGGCCUUAGGGUUGUAAAGCUCUUUUAGCAGGGAAGAUAAUGACGUUACCUGCAGAAAAAGCCCCGGCUAACUCCGUGCC
rnacentral:rRNA from 1 species